AAGAGGCCACAGGAAACAGAAACAGAAGCUGAAGAGACGAGGGACACAAGAAGCCGAGCUGCCUCAGUCUCAGAAGUGAGAUGAAGCCGAAGCUGGAUGAGGAAGGCAGCAAGCGCAGCAUCCUCUCCAAGCACCGGAAGUUCGUGGAGCACUGCUGCAUGCGCUGCCGCUCCCCCUUCACCUUCGUUGUCAACACCAAGCGCCUCUGUGGGGAUUGCAAGUUCAACGUCUGCAAGAGCUGUUGCUCCUACGAGAAGCAAGAGAAGGUCUGGAUCUGCUGCGUCUGCCAGCAAGCCAGGCUUCUAAAGACCCAGUCUCUGGAAUGGUUCUACAAUAACAUGAAGAGCUGCUUCAAACGCUUUGGCAGUGCCAAGGUCCUGAAGAAUUUGUACAGGAAACACCAGCUAGAGAGUGGAGCAUGCCUCGACAAUCUAGGAGGAAACUUUUUUGAGGCAAACCCGGAAAAUGAAGAAAGCAUUUCAGGCAGUGAUUCAACAUUUUAUAGGCAAUCAGAAGGACAUAGCAUGAUGGACACCUUGGGUGUUGCCUUAUGAGUGGCUGAAGAGGCCAUUGAAGAAGCAGUUUGCAAAGCAGAAGCCUAUGGGGACAGGCUGGAUAAGCAGAACAAGGCUGGUUACCUGCGGGACCACAAGGAGGAGCUGACAGAGGAGCUGGCCACAACUAUCCUGCAAAAGAUCAUAAGGAAGCAGAAGAGCAAAAGCGAGCA